GGCCGUUAGGGACCGUUAGAGCCGUUGGAAGGCAGGGGGCGCUCUGGCGCCCCACAGAACCUUCCAGAUCGCUGAGGUGAGGCGAGGCGAGGCGAGGCGGCGGUGCGCUCUUGAGGUACCAGAGGUGAAAUCAUUGUGAUUAGCAAAUAGAGGAAUGCUCUUCUAAGAAGAGAAGCAGAGCAAGCAAGGUUAUUCCUAGAGGAGUCAUCAUCUAGUGAUUCGUGCAGUGGAGGAAACAGAGGCAGCAAUUAGGCAGGCACCUUACCUACUGCUCCGACCUGUACUGUGCUAGAUCUUGCUACCAGAGGAUUGUCUCCAGGAAUUACACGUUGUUACAAAAUCAUGUAUUGCUUCUGAGGUUUGAAGACUGAAUCUGCUUUCACUGCUGCUGCAGUCAUACCUCGUCCAAUGAAACCAGGCUAAGGGUGGUAGGCAUACUGUCUUCCUAAGGCUCAGAAUCUGAAGAACUUUGCAGAGUUUGG